rnacentral:rRNA from 1 species
GAUGAACGCUGGCGGCGUGCCUAAUACAUGCAAGUCGAGCGAACAGAUGAGGAGCUUGCUCCUCUGACGUUAGCGGCGGACGGGUGAGUAACACGUGGAUAACCUACCUAUAAGACUGGGAUAACUUCGGGAAACCGGAGCUAAUACCGGAUAAUAUAUUGAACCGCAUGGUUCAAUAGUGAAAGACGGUUUUGCUGUCACUUAUAGAUGGAUCCGCGCCGCAUUAGCUAGUUGGUAAGGUAACGGCUUACCAAGGCAACGAUGCGUAGCCGACCUGAGAGGGUGAUCGGCCACACUGGAACUGAGACACGGUCCAGACUCCUACGGGAGGCAGCAGUAGGGAAUCUGCCGCAAUGGGCGAAAGCCUGACGGAGCAACGCCGCGUGAGUGAUGAAGGUCUUCGGAUCGUAAAACGCUGUUAUUAGGGAAGAACAAAUGUGUAAGUAACUAUGCACGUCUUGACGGUACCUAAUCAGAAAGCCACGGCUAACUACGU